rnacentral:rRNA from 1 species
GACGAACCGUGCGAACGUUAUUCGGAAUCACUGGGCUUAAAGGGCGCGUAGGCGGGCGGCCAAGUCAGGGGUGAAAGCCCCAGCUCAACUGGGGAAGUGCCUCUGAUACUGGUCGCCUCGAGGGAGAUAGGGGCGUGCGGAACUUCCGGUGGAGCGGUGAAAUGCGUAGAUAUCGGAAGGAACACCGGUGGCGAAAGCGGCGCGCUGGAUCUCUUCUGACGCUGAGGCGCGAAAGCCAGGGGAGCGAACGGG